ACAUCGCCUCUUGAUCAAUUAUAAGAGGUCCAGCCUGCCCAGUGACUUUGUUCAACGGCCGCGGUAUCCUAACCGUGCGAAGGUAGCGUAAUCACUUGUUCUUUAAAUGAGGACUAGUAUGAAUGGCCCCACGAGGGCUGCACUGUCUCCUUUUUCUAAUCAAUGAAACUAAUCUCCCCGUGAAGAAGCGGGAAUAAUCCUAUAAGACGAGAAGACCCUAUGGAGCUUUAAACAAUUGAAACAUUUGCUUUCUUCUUAACCUCUUCCGAGCUCUUUAUUUUACUUAAGCAUUUUUAUUUCUAGUUUUAGGUUGGGGUGACCACGGAGCAAAACUUAACCUCCAUGAAGAAAUGAACAUAUUUUUAAGCCACAAACUACCCUUUUAAGCAUCAACAAAUUGACCUUCAUUGA
rnacentral:rRNA from 1 species